AGCGCAGGCGGUUUCUUAAGUCUGAUGUGAAAGCCUUCGGCUUAACCGGAGAAGAGCAUCGGAAACUGGGAGACUUGAGUGCAGAAAAGGACAGUGGAACUCCAUGUGUAGCGGUGAAAUGCGUAGAUAUAUGGAAGAACACCAGUGGCGAAGGCGGCUGUCUGGUCUGUAACUGACGCUGAGGCUCGAAAGCAUGGGUAGCGAACA
rnacentral:rRNA from 1 species